CACAAGCGGUGGAGCAUGUGGUUUAAUUCGAUGCAACGCGAAGAACCUUACCUGGGGCUUGACAUGUCCGGAAUCCUGCAGAGAUGCGGGAGUGCCCUUCGGGGAAUCGGAACACAGGUGCUGCAUGGCUGUCGUCAGCUCGUGUCGUGAGAUGUUGGGUUAAGUCCCGCAACGAGCGCAACCCUUGUCCUUAGUUGCCAGCGGUUCGGCCGGGCACUCUAGGGAGACUGCCGGUGACAAACCGGAGGAAGGUGGGGAUGACGUCAAGUCCUCAUGGCCUUUAUGUCCAGGGCUACACACGUGCUACAAUGGCGCGUACAGAGGGACGCCAAACCGCGAGGUGGAGCAGACCCCAGAAAGCGCGUCGUAGUUCGGAU
rnacentral:rRNA from 1 species